GCCAGUGUGGUGUAGUGGUUUGAUUGUUGGCCUCCGAUUCUGAAGACUAGGGUUCAAAUCCCUGUUUGGUCA